GCCCACUGAGAUGGUAGCACUCAAUAACUCCAGUUUCACAAAUUCUCCCUCUCGAUGUUAUUAUGAUAUCAAAUACUCAUUCUAAUUUCCAAAUUCAUCCUGGGAGUGUUGGUAGGAAAUGAUGAGCCUCCAGGCAUUUUAUUGUUAAGCUUGUAAGCCUUCUUCACUUUGUGGGUGGUAUGAUAUAUGUAUGAAGAUAAAAAGAUGACUCAAGUGCUAGGUAUUUGCUUAAGUGAAAUAUUUGGGAUCAUUUGAUGGCCUCUUUUUAGAAAAAAAAAAUGACGGGAAUAUAGUUGACUUACAAAGGUGUUAAUUAAGGUGGACAGCAAAGUAAAUGUUACACAUUCCUUUUUAGAUUCUUUUCCACACAGCUUAUUGCACAGAACUGAGUAAAUUUCCCUGUGCUGUACAGUAGGUCCUUGUUACCCAUCUAGUUUAUACAUACAUUAUAUAGUUUACAUAUACUAUAUAUAGAACAUAUAUAUAUACUGUGUAGUUAGUCUGUCUCAUCAUGUGUAUGUAGUCAUAUGUGUGUAAUAGUGGCUUCUUUAUAUAUGAUCAGGAAGGUGUUCAUGCAGAGAACUGAGGUUCUGUUAAUCGUGUCGAGGGCAGAUCACUGGUACGUAUUAGAGGGUAGAUCCUAGACAAAAUCAUAGAGAAAUACACGUCGCAGGACUGAAGGGGCCUCCAUGCUGCUUACUUGCUUAAGAAGACAUAAGCGUGGUAUGAUACAGUGUCCACACAACCUCAUAAAGGGAGAAGCAGAUACAACAUAUCCCUCCUGAUGUUUCCCAGGAAGUCGGUAAAUUGACAAGUAGAUCCAGGAUUUCAUGUAUCAGCACCCUAGGUUUUAUCAUUUAUAUAAUCCCCUCUUUUCCCCCUGUUACUGUCAAGAUUUUCAAGGGGGGAUUAUGGUUGGAACUAGAGAGAGCAGGCGAUUCAGGCAUACCGCACGAAGUUGUUAAACUCUCGGAGGCUCGUGAUUUCUUGGCUCCUUUUAAGUUUGGGAAGCAGAGCACUCCUAGGGAGUGCUAUUAGGAGCUGGCUUCAUGGAGAAAAUGUAGCUGUGGGGCAGCUCACCUUUGAAGCUGAGAGAGCGUAAUAGAGAAGGGAAGGGGGCCUUGCUUCUGGUUUGGGAAACAGAAGGUGUGAGGAGAUGAGUGCCCUGCAGACUCUCGCCCUAACAGUCCUUCAGCAGGGCCAAGUGGUUCUCCAGACCGAGCUCAAUUUUCCGUGGAGUGCCCUCUCAGCUUCGACAAAGCCUGGGCGCCCUCGUAGGGAGUGUCUGUCUCUUCUCACCCUGACUCCUAGGGCUACGCUCCGCAUUUGGCCACCUGCCCAUUUCCUUUGGGUCUGAAAAGAAUCAUGAAUUUCAAUCAGACUUUGCAGAUUGCGGACUGCAGAGAAAGAUCUGCAGUGGCUCUUUUCGUCUCCCUGCCUUACACGAGUGGCAGUGUUGUGUCUAGCAGACACAUGAGAGUGAGUUACCACUGAUGCGAACAUGCCAGGUGUGAGGCCAGAAAGUUCGUGCUGCCCCACCUCUGCUUUCCAGGGAGUUCUGGGCAUUGGCCGAGUGAGAGGAGGGUGGGAGCAGGGGGGAGAGGGAUGGAGGUAGGAUAGGGGAGUUGUCCUGGGGACAGUGUUCUGGGCAGUCUCCACCCACUGAGAACACGAAAGCCUGCCAUGGAAGAACUGGGUCACCUCCGGCUCUGGGCUUGUUGCUUCACAGGCAUUGAGUCACCUUGUUAAGUGCCAUCCCUAAUAGGGAGACGGACUUAUUAUUCCUUGCUCCAAAGCUACUGGGAGCCUAGUCAGGAGAGACACAUAACCCAUACCCAGGUAUCUGCACCCAGAUGAACAGUGUUGGUGUCAUUCAACCACGUGGCUUGCCAGGCACAAUGAAGUCGUCUUGCUGGGAGUCCCAUUCCAGAGGGUUAGAUCAGCUGAGGAGAAACUGAGAUUGCAUGUGACUGCAAGCACAGCAGUGGCGAUGUCAUGUGCUUGCAGGGCUACCUUUUGAGGAAGACUCGAUGCUGACAGAGGAGAGAGCGCAUGGCUCUCGUCCUCCAUGUACUUCAGUGAAGUUUUUUUUUUUUUUUAAGAUAUUUGGGAGUUCCUGUUGUGGCUCAGCAGGUUACGAACCCAACUAGUAUCCAUGAGGAUGCAGGUUUGAUCCCUAGCCUCACUCAGUGGGUUAAGGAUCUAGUGUUGCCGUGAGCUGUGCUGCUGGCCCACACCACAGCCACAGCAACUUGGGAUCUGAGCCUUGUCUGUGACCUACCCCUGAGGAUCUCCCUGCCACACUGGAUCGUUAACCCACUGAGCAAUGCCAGGGAUCGGACGUGCGUCCUCAUGGAUUCUAGCCAGAUUUGUUUCCACCGAGCCACGAUGGGGAACUCCUCCAUUUUGCAUUUCUUCUUGUCCACAGUGCUGUGGUGACUAAUACUAAUCAGGACUUCUUGGAGGAAUUGCGGAAUCCUAAAGCAAGGAAUGUCUUUUCGUUAUGUGAACUAUGUUUAUAGUUGAGCAUUUGAGUAAGUGUUUUGCUAAUUUUGCCAUGGAAGAGGCUUGAUGUUUAAAAUAGGCUUGCUGCAUUCAUGGGAAUACCUUUUGCUCAGGAGGGCUUAUAGCAUUACAUUUAAAAUUACACGUUACUUAGAAAUCAUUUUCAGAGGUAGCAUGGCAUCCUGAUCUGGAAAGUCAGGAACCUAACCGUCAGUUGGUACUUGGCUACUAAUUAGCUCUGUGAAUCUGCGCGAGUGCUGUGACCUUUCUGGUCUGUGCUUUCCCCUCUUUUCAUUAUGAGGGGUCGGAUGUUCAGUAAGGAUUUAUUAGGAUUUCUCCUAUCUAUUUUGGAAAAGUUUACACUAGCUUCUCAAAACUUUCACUACUCAAAUACCAGUUCUUUUUAUUGUAAAUGUAUGCACAAUUACAUGUCUUAUCCACAUAGAAAGACAGAGGAGAAGCCACUGGAAAUCACUGUUCCAAACCUGUUAUCUGCUGUGGCUAGGGAAUGAGGUACCCUGUUGAGAACCUUCAUUUUAGGGCCAAGAUUAUGUUUUUAUGAUAAGUAGAUUACCAAAUCUCAAAAACUUGGUAUUGCCAGCCUUGCCUCCUUCCUUCCUUCCUUCUUUGCUUGCUUAAUUUUGUUAAAAGCCAUUAGGCAUGUCUGAGCAAGGAGACCAAUAAGCAAAUAUAUUGAAGAUAAUGGAAGCCAGACUUCUUACAGUCAGAGAAGAAAGUUACAAAUAGAAUAAAAGGGAAAGCUAGAAUGAACCCUUUGCUCUGGAUUGGAAUUUGAGGUAUUGGUAUGAAUGCAUGGAUUUCAAUAUAUAGAAUACAUAUAUAUAAAACAUAAACAAAAAUAAAUGUUAAAGUAGGUGCGAGUGUGUGAAUUUUUACAUAGACACUCAUAAAUAUGCAACAUCCCCAUUUCCUAACCCUGCUCACUGAAAGGGCCAGGAUGCCGUGACCACCCAGUGAAUAUGAGCGUAUUGAUGAUCCAGAUCACAGUUUGUACACGUCCGUCUUUGAUAAAAGACCACAGGACUUUGGGGGGGAAAAAUGUCUGGUUCUUGGGUGGGGGCAGGGAAGGUGCAAAAUGAGCCCUGGUUAUCUCCUGCCAGGAAAAGCAGUUCUCAAAGAAUGAUGGAAAGAUGCUCAGAGAACAUAGCGGCCAGCUUUCAGGCAUUCCCACCAAUCAAACCUGGGACGGUUUGAGCAUCAAGAUAAUACUGCAGGUUAUGUCACGCCAAACAAAUCAGGAAUGCAUGAGGCUAUACAGAUAUCAAUAAAUGCAUGAGAGAGUGAGACGAGAGCGUGUUUUUUUGUUAUUUAAAUGGAAUGCUGUCAGUUACAUAGAAAGAAUGCUGCGAUGAGAAUGAUGGUGAUUGGGCAAAUUUCUAGGAAGAGUUCAGCUGAGAAUUCUCCAAGAAUGCUAAAAUAAAACUAGUGAGUGGAGUUGAAUAAGGAUCAUGAUAUUUAUGUUAUCUCCAAAUGUCUGCCCACAAAUCCUUGUUAAUUGUAAAGGGCAAUCCAGUAACUCCUCUAGAGAGACUUGGGAGAUUGACAUUAUGUGUCACCUGAUGGGAUGCAGUGAGAACAUAGCAUCUUUUCCUAAAAAUGUCAUCUUUGACUUGCAUGAGAGAACCUUACUGAUCUCAGUUUAGGGGCAGUGAACAAAACAAUUAGCCAGAAAUCUUGAAUGAUGUUAGGGUAGUGACGGUUAAGGAAGAGCUGAGGACUGCUCCAAAUUGAAGUGUGGAGAGAGAUGACCCAUACAAAGUAUCAUUCUGGAGUGUUCUUUAACCAGAAGGAACUUUAUUGGGGCAGAUGGCCAAACUUGGAUGGAUGGAGUCUCUGGGGGAAGGGUAUGUUGGAGGUUUUUGAACUGUUUCUACAAGUCAUCUUCAAGUUUGAAAUUUUUUGGAAAUAAAAUGAAAAACUUAUUAGUACAUGAAUGCUUAGCUUUUAGUUUUUACUUUAUUGUACAAAGUUAAAAAAAAAA
rnacentral:lncRNA from 1 species